rnacentral:rRNA from 1 species
AGCGAACGCUGGCGGCAUGCCUAACACAUGCAAGUCGAACGAAGCCUUCGGGCUUAGUGGCGCACGGGUGCGUAACGCGUGGGAAUCUGCCCUUGGGUUCGGAAUAACAGUUAGAAAUGACUGCUAAUACCGGAUGAUGUCUUCGGACCAAAGAUUUAUCGCCCAAGGAUGAGCCCGCGUAGGAUUAGGUAGUUGGUGGGGUAAUGGCCCACCAAGCCGACGAUCCCUAGCUGGUCUGAGAGGAUGAUCAGCCACACUGGGACUGAGACACGGCCCAGACUCCUACGGGAGGCAGCAGUGGGGAAUAUUGGACAAUGGGCGAAAGCCUGAUCCAGCAAUGUCGCGUGAGUGAUGAAGGCCUUAGGGUUGUAAAGCUCUUUUACCAGGGAUGAUAAUGACAGUACCUGGAGAAUAAGCUCCGGCUAACUCCGUGCCAGCAGCCGCCGCAG